rnacentral:rRNA from 1 species
AUUGAACGCUGGCGGCAGGCCUAACACAUGCAAGUCGAACGAGUGGCGGACGGGUGAGUAAUGUCUGGGAAACUGCCUGAUGGAGGGGGAUAACUACUGGAAACGGUAGCUAAUACCGCAUACCAUCGGAUGUGCCCAGAUGGGAUUAGCUAGUAGGUGGGGUAAAGGCUCACCUAGGCGACGAUCCCUAGCUGGUCUGAGAGGAUGACAAGCAACACUGGAACGGAGACACGGUCCAGACUCCUACGGGAGGCAGCAGUGGGGAAUAUUGCACAAUGGCCGCAAACCUGAUGCAGCCAGGCCGCGUGUAUGAAGAAGGCCUUCGGGUUGUAAAGUACUUUCAGCGGGGAGGCGUUACCCGCAGAAGAAGCUCCGGCUAACUCCGUGCCAGCAGCCGCGGUAAUAC